AGCACCUUUUACUAUGUUUCACUUCUUGAGUUCACAUUUUGCCAAAACCUGAAUCUGUGGAACGUGAAGUAAAAUUCAUCUGUCCUCGUAGGAUUCAUUGACCGCCGUGACUGAGGCUCAGGAGGAAGAGUAGUCGUCUUACAGUUUAAAGAAAGGAUCGGCACAUCAAACAGGAAAGUAACCAGCACAGGAGAACAGAAAUGAUCCAAACAUUAUUUCAUCAGUGUGUCUCUAAUUUCUCUGAGAACUGCAGAGUCUAAUGUUGAACAAGCAUGGAUGCCCACUCCUGAGCAGAUAAGGAAACCAGCUCGUAAUAAAGGGUUCAAGAAGAUUCUUCCCCACUGCAGAAUAAUGGAAGGUGUUACUUUGGAAAAAAAGGUGCAACUCUACCUAGAUUUCUGAGUGGCUGCAGAUACUUCUUGCUAAUGGCAUUGAGUAAACACCUAACCCAUCAGAAUGCUGUUAACCUGUUAAACACCACACCUGCAUUUAAUG